AGAGUUUGAUCCUGGCUCAGGACGAACGCUGGCGGCGUGCUUAACACAUGCAAGUCGAGGGCAGGGGGUGGCAACACUCCCUGACCGGCGAACGGGUGCGUAACACGUGAGCGAUCUACCCUGGUGUGGGGGAUAGCCGGCCCAACGGCCGGGUAAUACCGCAUGGGUUCUUUUGGGGGCAUCCCUUUGAGAACAAAGUCUUCGGACGCACUGGGAGGAGCUCGCGGCCUAUCAGCUAGUUGGUGGUGUCACGGACCACCAAGGCGACGACGGGUAGCUGGUCUGAGAGGAUGGCCAGCCACAUUGGGACUGAGAGACGGCCCAGACUCCUACGGGAGGCAGCAGUGGGGAAUUUUGGGCAAUGGCCGCAAGGCUGACCCAGCGACGCCGCGUGCGGGAGGACGCCCUUCGGGGUGUAAACCGCUGUCAGGUGGGACGAAUGACCGGGGUGGGAAUACUGCCUCGGGGUGACGGUACCGCCAAAGGAAGCGCCGGCUAACUCCGUGCCAGCAGCCGCGGUAAGACGGAGGGCGCGAGCGUUGUUCGGAAUCACUGGGCGUAAAGCGCGCGCAGGCGGGACGGCAAGUCGGAAGUGAAAUCCCGGGGCUCAACUUUGGGACUGCUUCCGAAACUGCCGGCCUGGAGACCGGUAGAGGUGGGUGGAAUUCCCGGUGUAGCGGUGGAAUGCGUAGAGAUCGGGAAGAACACCUGUGGCGAAGGCGGCCCACUGGGCCGGUUCUGACGCUGAGGCGCGAAAGCGUGGGGAGCAAACAGGAUUAGAUACCCCCGUAGUCC
rnacentral:rRNA from 1 species